AAGCAUUGGUAUCAACGCUGAGUAGAAUAGAAAGAAAGCAGUAGUGUCUUCAGCAGCACAUACCAUGAACAAUAGCAGAUCCAGUAUCACUGGGUAUCUCAAAUCGCAACUUUUUGUAACGCUGAUUGCU